rnacentral:rRNA from 1 species
UACAGAGGAUGCAAGCGUUAUCCGGAAUGAUUGGGCGUAAAGCGUCCGCAGGUGGUUUUGUAAGUCUGCUGUUAAAGCGUUAGGCUCAACCUAAUAAGGGCAGUGGAAACUAUGAGACUAGAGUAUGUUAGGGGUAGAGGGAAUUCCCAGUGUAGCGGUGAAAUGCGUAGAGAUUGGGAAGAACACCGGUGGCGAAAGCGCUCUGCUAGGACAAUACUGACACUGAGGGACGAAAGCGAGGGGAGCGAAUGGG